rnacentral:lncRNA from 1 species
AUUUGUAUCGUUCUACCAGGGAUUUCACGUGAGAAAGAACUUGUGUUCUCGCGCUGGUUUUCGUGAAAGGAGAUUUUGGAUCGUCUGAGGUAUAGAUUGUGAGCCAGCCUAACAUCACCUUUGGUAUUUCUGAAUCAUCUUCAUCGUCACUACUGCUGUUUCCUGUAUUACAAAUCCAAUGUCAAAUUUAAUUAUGGUUAAGUUUGUAGUCUAAAAUUUUAUCUUAAAAUACGAUUAAACAAAAAUUUAAAUAUAUUACCGUCCUUGUUUCUUGCCUUCAAUUCUUUGACGCUUUCCGCGUUGAGCAGUGCGGAAGCGGACUCUUGGCCGGCGCCGAAGACGUUGAUCCACUCCAUGUCUCUCGUGGUGCCGCGCCACACCACGUAGAUCUCUCUCCGCCCGAGCUCCUUCGAGCGGCUGUCCG